UUUUGUCGGCUGCCGCAGCAUAAUGAUAAAAUCAGGAAGAAUUUUGAGAGGCAUGGAUCGACUCACAUGUGAGACAUGUUUACAAACGUCAGAAAUUCGGACAAGCGACCACUCUGGAUUGGUGAGAGUGUAUGGGCUGAGCUGACUAGUUGUUGUGGUAGCCCAGAUUAUACUACGAGGGACCAAAAUAGACAUAACAGAGCUUCUGAUGUUUAGGGCAUGGGUAGUUCCCUUCAUAUUAGGGGCUCAGUUUCACAUACUAAGCACAGGCGAUGACUGAAAGAGGUGCUGGGUAGAGAGUCGGUCGUUGUUGAAUUGCAUAGUCAUACCCAUGGGCGACAGGAGGACCAACAAUGGGUUGAUGAGCGAGCAAAGAGAGCUUAAGACGAGUAUACACAGCUUCGAGAGAGCCAUACCGGAGCUUGUGAGGAUUCCUUUGGUGGAUCAGUAGAAUAUUCUAACUAUCGCAUUUGAUCGCAAGACGUAGGAGGAAUACAACAUGGCAGGAUUUAUGGCUUAGGUUCAUAAGCCUAUGCAUACGAGCGAAAAAUAUCUGGUGGCUCCAGCUUCUCAGCAAGUACCCAGGAGUCGUUAUAUAGCAAAUAGGUAGUUGACCUUCAAGCCAAACUAAACCAAGUCAGAAAAUCACACGCUGACUGACAAGUGCAGAUGCAGACGCAGAUGCAGAUGCAACACACUCAGUUGUUGGAUGAACUACAUAAAAUGAGGGAGCAGCUCAAAAAGUAGGUAGCUUCAGCAGAGGAGGAGACUGAUUCUGAUGCAGACUGAUUCUGGAUAUUUGUGUAGUCUUAAAUGA